GUGUCCUGACUGGGAAUCGAACCAGUGACCUUUUGGUUUGCAGGCCAGCACUCUAUCACUGAGCCAUACCAGCCAGGGCUAAAGAACUUUAAAAUGCAGAGUGUUUUUGUUCAAUGUCGUUCUAUAGUAAACUGAGCAUAGCUUUAAAGACAAAGGUUUAUGAUUAUGGCCCGCAGUGGUUAGCUGAAAAGGUGCUGCUUUGGACAAACAGUCUCCUCAGUAUGAAAGGCUUCAGAUUAUCAACAGUUGCCAAGUGCUUUGACAGGCUCUGAGCAUAAGUUUCCUUUUCUGGUUUUAUCCUCAGCCAUUUCAGCUGUGAUUGAGAGCUGGCAGUGUCUCUGCGUGUAAGGAGAUACAGAAUGAGUGUUUACUGAAUGUAUGAAUGAAUAUGGCGAUUGUUGUAUCAAAAUUUAGUGAGCUCUAUAUUAGGUAGUAUUUAUUUGAUCAGCUUUGGAGAGCAGAUAUAGUAUACAAACAUUAAAUGAAUUUCAGUGUAGCUGCAUUAACAAUAAAAACAACUCAGUUUCUAGUCGCAUCUCAGGUUUACACCAGACAGAGAUUUGCUGAUUCACAACAAUUGUUGCUGGCACUAACCUGGUGCUUUACUGCUCUCCUUGGAAUACAACAUAGAAAACUUUUCACUGGACUGGAACGCAGGACCUGAAAAUCAUUACCUUUGUAUUGUCUCUUCUGGGUAGAUUUGUGGGGGAGGUGUGCGUGCAAGAGUGAGCUGUGGGAGAGUAAAAUAUUCUAGUUCUUUCUUUCCUUCUCGCCUGGCCCCUCUUGCCUUGUAGGGGUUUAUGUCAGCUCAGAGGCACUAGUUCUGGCUCAUGGUGAUUAAUGAAAGAUGAGUGCUAUAAAAGUUACUGCUCUGGUCCUCUGUGUAGUUUCUUUUUCCUCUUAGAUGGACUUUUCUCUUCACCCAGCCUGUCUUUUACUUUUGUUUGAUGUGUAUUUAGGACAUUGAAAAAGCUUACUUUAAUUCUGGCCUUAGGCAAUCAUAAUUAAAAAGGAAAAGUUUCUGUUUGCUGUUGCAAGAAGCCUCCUUCUACCUCUUGCUUCCUACCCCCUACAAUUGUACAUUUUUUAAUACUCAAGAAGAGAAUUUUAGAUUAUUCUUGUUUCUAUCCCUGUAUUAGUAAGUAUAAUUAAGAGGUGGGAAGAUUUGAUGUGGUUUGCUAAAUUUCUGAAUAACAGGAGAAACAUAAUGGUCCAUAUUUUUAAAAAUCUGUGCAUGGUAUUUGGGAAGAUUUUCUUUUACUAAAAAUCUCAUUUCCAGGAGUCUUCACGUUGUUAUACAUAAUUUGAUAAGACAAUCUGUCCUUGUUCUUCGUACUUGAAGGAGAUGCAGUGUAUAUUCUCAGGAGACCUGGGUGUGACCCUGAGAGGCCUUUCUUUGAUGAGCGUACCUUCAGAAACAGGGGUAAUCGGGGUCUGUCUCCAGGAAUUUUUUUUUUUCUCGAAAACUCAUUUCCACAUGUCAAAUGUAAACUAGGCCCGUAAACUGUAGCAAGCGCUUUCAUUUAACCAUCGAAACAUUUUCUGUUUUAGUUCCAAAUAAGGUAAUUUCUCCCCCACCCAUUAGAUAUUUAAGUUUCCCAUUUUUUGAGGGUGAGUGGGGUCAUUCAUUGCUGUUUACUUCUUUUUGUGAUAAUAGAUGAGCUGUUUCAGAAAUCCAGCUAGUCAGCUUAUAAUAAUAUUAAUGUUAGAUUUUUAGAGUUUGGAAAGCUCUGUUAGCAGAACACAUAUACAGGGAGGAUUCUACUUAAUUUAUAGGGUACCUUGAAAGAACUGUAAAUGUUUUAGUUUUUAAAAUUGUAUGUCAGAAAUAACUUUUAAGAGAGAAAUAGUCUAGAAGGAGAUACCAAGAAACUGUAAAUAGUGGGUAUCUUUGGGGAAUAGGAGUGGAGGGUUUCACUCUCUACCUUCACAUUGAAAAAACAGUCCUUUAUCCAACCAUCAUCAUCUACCCAUCUGUCUGUAUCAGCAAAGGAAGAGAAAUCCAGCUUGUGAUCUAUUUAAUAUAAUUGGUUUCUUCUCUAUAAGCAAAGAGCAUUAAUUGUUUAUCUAUGUAGAUCACCUUGAAAAAGCAUUAGUUUUGAUGUUCAGCAGGAGGGGAAAGUACUUAGUAAUUUUCAGAAAUGGUGCAUGGGGCAUUGAAAAGAGAAAUUCUAUUGGUGUGAAAUCUUCUAUUCUCCCUGUUUUCUGAGAUUCUUAUCGUGGUAUUUCUCUGCAUAAAGAACUCAGCUCCUUGGCUGUCAUACCACACUUUAAUGAACAACACUGUAAUUUGUGACUUGUGCUCUCUCCUUUUCAUCAACUCAGUACCAUCAUGCCCUGUCUCUAUCAAUUUACUUCAGAACUGAAAUUUUGUUUUUGUGUAAUGCCAUUUAGAGAAACCAAGAGCAUUUAGUGGUUUACAUUGAAUUUGGGGGAUAAGAAGAUAAUUAAAUCAGCUUUUGCUGCUUAAGAAACUACUCCAAAACUUGGUGGCUUAAAAACAGCCAUUUCUUUACUUUAGCAUUCUGUGGUUGGACAUUUUGGGUUGGUUUCAACUGUGUGAUGGUCUGGAUCUCCUCUAGGCUCACUCUCGCAUCUGUAGUCAGCUGACAGUUGAUGGUCACUUUUGCUGUGUCAGUCUUAUCAUCUAGCAGGUUAGUCUGGGUUGUGG